AGGUCAAGCAAAUCCCAUAAAGUUGUUCUCAGUUCGGAUUGUAGUCUGCAACUCGACUACAUGAAGCUGGAAUCGCUAGUAAUCGUAGAUCAGCAUGCUACGGUGAAUACGUUCCCGGGUCUUGUACACACCGCCCGUCACACCACGAGAGUUUGUAACACCCGAAGCCGGUGGAGUAACCUUUUAGGAGCUAGCCGUCGAAGGUGGGACAAAUGAUUGGGGUGAAGUCGUAACAAGGUAGCCGUAUCGGAAGGUGCGGCUGGAUCACCUCCUUUCUAAGGA
rnacentral:rRNA from 1 species